rnacentral:rRNA from 1 species
UGGGGAAUUUUGGACAAUGGGGGAAACCCUGAUCCAGCCAUCCCGCGUGUGCGAUGAAGGCCUUCGGGUUGUAAAGCACUUUUGGCAGGAAAGAAACGUCGCGGGUUAAUACCCCGCGAAACUGACGGUACCUGCAGAAUAAGCACCGGCUAACUACGUGCCAGCAGCCGCGGUAAUACGUAGGGUGCAAGCGUUAAUCGGAAUUACUGGGCGUAAAGCGUGCGCAGGCGGUUCGGAAACGAAAGAUGUGAAAUCCCAGAGCUUAACUUUUGGAACUGCAUUUUUUGAACUACCGGGGCUAGAGUGUGUCAGAGGGAGGUGGAAUUUCCCGCGUGUAGCAGUGAAAUGCGUAGAUAUGCGGAGGAACACCGAUGGCGAAGGCAGCCUCCUGGGCAUAACACUGACGCUCAUGCACGAAA